rnacentral:lncRNA from 1 species
AGUUUUCAGGUGGAUGGAAGAACCAUUAACAACCCAGACUGCUCUACAGUGAGCUAGAUUUGCACAAGCAAGGGGGCAAAAAAAAAAAAAAAAAAAAAAGAAUAUUUAAAGUUCUGUUUUCUGUGUUACAGAGAAGUUCCAGAAUCACUCUCCUUUGUAAUGUAAAGACAGUAGCAUGAUCACCAGGCAUGUGGUCCUGACCUCAGACUGAGGAUCCUUGGCCUAGAGUCAAGCAGUCCCUGCAGUCACUGAAACAGCCAAAUUAACUGUCUGUUUAGCCAUGGAUUAAAAUUCAUCCACUGAUCCAAGACACAAAGGAAUUGAGAAGACGACAUGAUCAGCAGUUAGGAAAAGCAUCUGUGGAGAUGAUGGUUGUUAUUACUGUUGAGUGAACGUUAUACUUAUGGAACAGAUGCUCACGUGAUAUCCUAAAACAAGAGUGGUUUGGAAGAAGAGCUGACUACAGCACGUGAGAAAGUACACAUCAGCCAGACACAAAGAUGAAGUCUGCUUCCAACUUGAAGCUCAUAGCCUCUAAAUCCAGCUGAAAGCUCUUCUCCUUAAGACAGUUUUGACUAGGUGCUUCCAGGGAAAAGAGAGAAAACCAAAUGACCCAAACGAAGGUUUCUCUGCAGAGGCCGUCUCAGGGUGGGGAGUAAGAGGCAGAGGAAGGGAAAGGAAGAAGUGGGAAAAGACUGCAUUUGCACCUCUCUGCUUGCUGACAGAAGGAUCUGACCAGGCACAUGGGAAUGGAAUUCACUGAAGACAAGGAUUUUUCACCUCAGAGCCAAGGAUGAAAUGGAAAGUCAAGCAUGCAAGAACUGAGCAAGACAAGACAGAAUAAUUAUUCACAAAUGGACAGAAGAACAUUCCAGGAUUCAUUUUCCAACUUGUGUGGAAUUGGA